rnacentral:rRNA from 1 species
CAGUCGCCGCGGUAAUACGUAGGUGGCAAGCGUUGUCCGGAAUUAUUGGGCGUAAAGCGUCUGUAGAUGGCUUUUCAAGUCCGCCGUCAAAUCCCAGGGCUCAACCCUGGACAGGCGGUGGAAACUACCAAGCUGGAGUAUGGUAGGGGUAGAGGGAAUUUCCAGUGGAGCGGUGAAAUGCGUUGAGAUCGGAAACAACACCAACGGCAAAAUCACUCUGCUGGGUCGACACUGACACUAAGAGACGAAAGCUAGGGGAGCGAACAGGAUUAGAUACCCCCGUAGUCCCUGUCUCUUUACA